rnacentral:lncRNA from 1 species
GUCACACCCCGGUCAAAUCAAGACCCGGCCACGUAAGCAAAUAACUCACAUGAGGAAAAGUCAAACAAAAAUAAAUGACAACACACUGUCAUUUACAUCAGAGUGCGGAAUAUUAUAACACAUAAUUACAUUUUAAUGUGUUUAUCAAAUUAAACAGCAUAACUGGCAUCCACAUGCCUCAAGACUCAGGAUAACUCUCGGUACC